rnacentral:rRNA from 1 species
GGGUUGUGAGGUUAAGUGACUAAGCGUACACGGUGGAUGCCCUGGCAGUCAGAGGCGAUGAAGGGCGUGCUAAUCUGCGAUAAGCGCCGGUAAGGUGAUAUGAACCGUUAUAACCGGCGAUACCCGAAUGGGGAAACCCAGUGUGACUCGUCACACUAUCAUUAACUGAAUCCAUAGGUUAAUGAGGCGAACCGGGGGAACUGAAACAUCUAAGUACCCCGAGGAAAAGAAAUCAACCGAGAUUCCCCCAGUAGCGGCGAGCGAACGGGGAGGAGCCCAGAGCCUGAAUCAGCAUGUGUGUUAGUGGAAGCGUCUGGAAAGGCGCGCGAUACAGGGUGACAGCCCCGUACACAAAAGCGCAUGUGCUGUGAGCUCGAUGAGUAGGGCGGGACACGUGGUAUCCUGUCUGAAUAUGGGGGGACCAUCCUCCAAGGCUAAAUACUCCUGACUGACCGAUAGUGAACCAGUACCGUGAGGGAAAGGCGAAAAGAACCCCGGCGAGGGGAGUGAAAAAGAACCUGAAACCGU